rnacentral:lncRNA from 1 species
UGCCAGCAUGUGAAGAAGGAUGUGUUUGCUUCCCCUUCCACCAUGAUUGUUGAAAGCCUCCACAAUCAAGCUUUUAUUAAAGAACGAGUACUACCAUUGUGACCACAGAAGAUAGAAUUCGACACCAAGAGCGUGCUGGCCCUUCUCAAAGUGUCCCAUGAAAAAGUUAUUCCACACCUCCUCCCUGACCUUGUCGUGCAGACGCUUCCAGGAUGAACUCCAACUCGCCGAGCCACCGCAGCUCCUCAGCUGACUAAAAGAGUUAAUGAUCCUCCAGGUUAAAACUCCUCCUUGAGCACACACCUUCUCUCAACAAAUGACAAUACUUGGCAAACUGAACUCCUCCCACGAGUCGCCCUCUGCUAGGAGGAAUUGCUGGCUGCUCCCUGCUUAUUGCAUUCUCUCAGAGCAGCUGUCUCAAAGGAGGCUGCUCCCAUGCCGAUCUUUUUGUGCCCAACUUACAGGGAAAGAACUCAUUGCCUGCCCAGUGCCUGCCAGCCUCAGACUUCUGACUGCAAAUCCAACAGGACAAUACAGAGUUGGCAGGACCCUUCUCAGGAGUGAGGAGCGGGUGCAAGAACUCCCAGGUCACUGCUUUAUUCAGAGGACCUAAGGAAUUGGGUUGAGCGGAAGCGCACAGAGCUGCAGAUUUUCUUUGAUGAAUGAAAGCUUCAAUCCACAGGUUUCUAAUAGUACUCUCAUUCAUUUUGCUUACAAAAGGUACAGAUUAUCACUAAUCCUCUUCAAAAGGUAUUUGUAAUCACAUUUCCUUGUAUAUGCAAAAAAAAUUCUAUUUAAAGUGUAUGUGAAAUUAAGUUUACUUUUUUGAAACACAUGUAGAAAAAGAACAAAGGUAUCAUCAAACUAGUCUAUGUAGUCUCCUUUCACUAAAAUAUUGAUGGUUCAACACUUAAGGAAGUCUAGAAAUAAAAUAUUCAAAUGACUAUAUGGCCAGACUCUUUUUUAAUUUGUUUACACAUUUAUUCAAUAAACAGUGCCUGAGCACAGGGACUACCUAAAAAAGUUAAGUCAUAUUUGCUACCCUCGUGUUGAUGUAAGGAUUCAAACAUCCAAACAAAUAUGAUAGAAAGUGGAUUGUUAUUAUAAGAGAUGGAACAGAAGUCUAAGAAAACUGUCAGAAGUCCCAAUGUGGUGUAGAGAAACACACCCCUACCCUAGCUCUGGCAAAAUACCUGUAUUCCAGCUGCUUGUCUGCACUGGCCUUGCUGUGUGAUCAUUUAACUAUAGGAACCGGCUCUUCUCAUCUGGUACCGCCCGACAGGACUUUUGAGAGAAUGGAAUGAGAUCAUUGUGAAAGUACAUUGUACAGCACUGAUCAAGUGCUGUUAGGAUUAUUAAACUAAAUGUGCAUUUGAACAGUAGGUGUUAGGACAUAGUGGCUAAGGGCAUAUACACUAAAUUUGGAAGGCCUGAGUUCAAAUUUGGACUGUACUAGGUGGUCGUUGUGCUACCUUGGGAUAUAACAAGUUAUACAAACUCCAUUCUCCUCUAUUUCCUCACAUGUAACAUAAAGAUGAUGAUAAUAGAACCUACGUCCUAAAACAGACUUUUAAGAAAGAGUGCCUGGGAAAUAAUAGGUGUUCCACAAAAGAUAGUUAUUUUUACCUUCACCAUGUCCACUGUCUGUCCCUCAAGCUACAUUGGCAAUGAUAUCUCCAACCUGACCCAAAUAACCCUAAUGUGACCAAGAUCAAUGUGUGCAUGUGUGUGUGUGUAUAUGUUGUAUGUGUAAAACCUUGAGCAAAUAGUGAAGUAUAGGAUAAACAUAAAAAGUAAGCUAAGUAAACCCAUUGUAAUAGUAAUUACAAAAUAUAUAUGUACGUGUGUGUGUAUGUGUGUGUGUGUGUGUAUAUAUAUAUGUAGUUCUCUUGGUUUCAAAAAUUUGCUAGCACAAUUUAACCAAAUAAAUGAAAAUAAAAUUAACAUUUUAUCACAAGGUCAAAAUAUAAGGAGUAAAGGGUUUAUGGGGGGGGUAAUAAAAAUGUUCUAGAACUACUGAUGGCUUCAAAAAUUUGUGAACAUACUAAACCUCACUGAACUC